CCCGCUGGCCUUUUUUUGUGUGGUCUCUCCCGCUGUCUCCCUCUCCCUCUCUCUCUCUCUCUCUCUCUCUCUCUCUCUCUCUCUCCGAUCGACCCACCACCAUAGACCCACUGAAUCCCAGUCGCUCCUUUCUGGCGAUCCCGAUUGGACACCAUUAACACCACCGACCGGUGCAACGAUCACCACUGUAACCACCACUGUUCGAGGUUCCCAGAGUUCGAAUCGAUGGCAUGUAGUUGUUCUUCUCCCCAAACGGUUUGUAGAUCUUUACAUCUUUCACUAAAAAAAGUAUGGGUUUAGGGUUUGUUAAUUCCCAUGGCAUAGACUGAAAAAGCACCGAUUACAUACUUGAUUCAUAUUGUCGUAGGUACGAGUACUUCUCAGGUUUGGGUUUUUCUCUUUCCAAGGGAUUUCUUCUAUUUCCGAACACCGCUAAAGUAGUGGAACAGCCGAGGUCAAGGACUCAAAGAUUGUGAAGGAUGCCAAUCUAGCCUUUAACUCCUUUCAAAAGUCUGCAACGACUUGCCGACAUGGAUAACGUGACUAUUUUUGGCCAGAAAAAUCGAAGGCAAGGAGAAAUGGCUCAACAAAGACAAAAUGCAACCACAAAAGGCAAGGAAAAAGAUAAGGCAAUUCGUUCCGACGGAAAAGAGAAAAAUUGGGUAUAAUUGGUUGAUUAUAAUAACCAUCCAAUACUGUCAUCACCAGCGCAAAGAUCAGCACUUUGCUUAUCGGUGGGUAAGUUUUUAAUCGCACUCUAUGUUGGGCAUUGAUUAUGAGCUUCAGUUUACUAAUCUAUCCCUUAUCUUCCCUCUUUCUGGUAGACCCUAAUGACUCUGUGGGUUCAUUUCUCUUAAUUUCUAGCCGGGAUGGAUGGCUUUAAAAUUCCAUUUGAGGGUUUGACCUUUGAGUUUUUUUUUACCGCAUUCCAGGCCAUAUAAGUUUUUUUGAGGAUCCAUUUUUUUCAUUUGUCAAUACCUCAGUUGAACUAUGUUGGUGGAUUCUUUGGUAUCAUCAAAAUCCUAUUGUGGUAAUUUGAUGCAAUUGAAAAUAGUUUCCAAUACUCCGGAGUAUAAGUAGCAGUGAGUUCAUGAAAAUCCUAUUUGUUAUGGGUUAUAACCUUUUUUUUCUGUUGACAUGGUUGAUUCAUAUGCCUUUGGCCCAGUUUUGCCCCUCUAUUAUAACUUACUGUAAUAUUCUGCUCCAAAUUUUUUUUUUGUGUAAUACAUUUUUUAUUGUAGAAUACGCUUAUUCUUUUUUCUUGAUUAUGGAGUAGACUUAUGUCCUACAACACAAUCUGUCUCUGAAACAUCCUCACCCAUGAACAAAGCUCUCUCCAAGAGCUCCAGCACAACAUCUUAUCGAUUUAACGGGAACAAAGCUCUCUCUAUCCAAAAGUUUUAGGGCCCUGAUAAUCCUCACCUUAUCAUUAGCAAUAGCGGACAACCUUCUUAUUGAUUGGUAACUUUGUUAUCCUAAUAUGUUAAUUGGGCAUUGAUUAUGAGCCUCAAUCUAUUCAAUCAAGGUGUCUAUUUUUAACUCUAGAAGAUCAACUAUUCAAACUUUUUUAUGGCUAUAACAUAACGGCUCUUUCGAUGAGCAUGGCAGAUAACCAUUAAGCGCAACUGCUGAUUCGAUAUUUUAUUCCUGCUCUGUCAAGAGAAUUAUCCUAUUGCUUUUAAUUUUAUCUGAGGCUUAUUGAUGUUAAUUGUCUUGAUGCUUCAACUAUGUUUAGUGUUCUGCUUAGAUUAACUACAUCUGGAUACUUGACUGUGUAUAGAUGAGCAAUGCCUAUUUUCAAUGACCAACCCUUAGUUCAGUGACUAGCUUAGUAAUCUUAGUUUCAUAGUGUUGUUUUUGAAAAUACCGAGGACAUGCAUAUUGCAUACAUCCAUUUUCCAUUAAUGAGAUUUGUAGUGAUGCUUAGCUAGGGUCUUGCUAUUAAAUCGUUUACUACCCAACUUCAAUCUUUAUUCAUGCAAUCCAUUAGUUCUAGAAGAGUUCUUAUUUUGGUUUGGUUUGGUUUUUGGUUUUUCAGGUAUGAUUGAUUUUGAAGACCAUAAUAGCCGUGAUAGGAUUGCUGGGUCGUAAUUAUGGGUAGUUACGGUAGUCAGUUAAAGUUGACAGAUUGUAUGGAUGCCUUUAGGCAUGGAUAAAACAAUGAAACUCUAUUAUUUUUUUUGUUUUUAGGUACUUUUAUUCUUUCAUUCUUUCCGAGUUGUCAUAAAUAUGUGCAAGAUUAGUUGGACUAUUUUUUCUUACAUGAAGAUAUUUUAUGAUUCUUUCA